CUUUGCAAUGCCUCUUGAAGCUUACAUCAAAUUGAUGGAAAUUGUCUAUGUACUUCAAUUUCCUAAGAUUCCUGAUAAAAUAUAUUUAUAUAUAUAUGAAACGAUAAAAAUAUAGGGAUCUAUUAGUUAUAUAGCCAUGAUCAAAUCGAUCUGCUACUGCUACAUUAAAUGUAUGAAAGUGUUUAGGAAGAUCAAAUUAAAGUAUUUUUUUUUGGGUACAUUAAUUUUUUUUUUUUUUUGGGUACAUCUAAUCUAUGUUUUAUUUUAACCCCAAAUGAAAGCACAUCAAAAUUCAACAAGAAAUAUUAGCCCCCAACCCACCCCCCCCCCCCCCCCCCCCCUCCCCAACAAAAAAAAAAGAAACUAUAUUUUAUGCUACAAAAAGUUCAGGUAAUCGAUGGAAUUGCUUUGUUGAUUUCGUAAAAUUAAGAUAAAUAUCGAGCUGCUUUCUUGCUAAAUGUUCUUUUAUUCAAUGUAAAAUAGUUUCUUGUCCCACUUAAUUGUCAUAGCAUUUGAUUAAAGUAUUCGGCUUCAAUUGUUUUUUACUUAUAGAUUGAGGAGAAGUCUAUGUUACAGAUUCUGUAACAUACAUCCCCCACUCCAUGCACUCCACGUGUCCCUGCAUGUGGAAACAAAGCAAGCAAAUGACAAUCUUGGGGAGCUGGCUAACCUGGUCUGUAUGUUACAGAAUCUGUAUCGUAGCCAGCUCCAUAGAUUGAAAUUAAAACUAAGGAAUAAGCAUCCGAUGCGCCAGCUACUAGGUAACCUUGAUCUGAUCUGUAUUCAUAAUGCAUGUUGACCUGUAAAUCUGUUUCUUUUUUUUAUUUUUUAUUUUUUAGUUCCUGAAGAAUUGACUAUUAACCUUAAAAAUAUUAUCUUUCACAUAUUAAAAUUAUAAUUCAAAAUGAAUCAAGAUUAUCUGGUAACCUAAACUUGUCUUAAACAAAAUUUGCUGUCUGACUGGUCCGUAAUAGUAGUUAAAUUUUGCAGAGGAUUUAAUUCAUUUAAAACAUGUUCAUAAGAUCAUAUCCAGUGGAUGAGGUCAAUGAACAUUAAAAUCACAAUACAAAUAAAGUUUAAAAAAUUAAUAAAAAUACAAUCAAGGUUAGGACAGAAAAACCAUUUAAUAAUUAAUAAAGAAAAACGCUGACAUUUUGAUGUAGCUGGACCCAGCUUUAUCGGUCAUGUUGAUAAACUCAUGAACAAGUCAAAAAAAUGUUAUGAAGUUUAAUAAUGACAACGUGCCAGAGGACUACACGAGGAGUCAAACUCCCCUGUAACUCUCCUGUCGUAAUAAACAACUACCAUUUAGUCGUUAAUAGUUCUUUGGUUCUUUUUUUUUAAAAAAAGGAAAAAAAUCUAUUAAAAAUUUGACCUUUAAAUGUUAAUCAUAGAACAAAAAUAUAAGUUAGUCAGCCAUUAUUUCAAUUUGAGUGAUGUCUUUCCACAAAUUAUUUUUUAUAAAUUGAAUGUGAUAUUAUAUAACUAGUUGAAUAAAAAUAUAAAAUAAUAAAAAUAAUUUAUAUAAAUUAAAUAAUAUUUUUAUUUAAUUACUCCUAUGACACUAUAUCAAUUAAUUGAAAAAAAAAAAUUAUCGUUAUGUCAUUGUCCUUUUAAUUUAAUCCACGGUGGCCCAGCUGAUCACUCCACAAAGUCUUUCAAAUAUUUUGUUUUGGUGCGGACGUGGGGCCAGAGUCGUUGAAUCUAAGUUCAUAGCAAGCACUUUCGAGAUCGAUUGGCUUACUAGUAUUUGCUAUUACUUAUUUAAUAUUCAUCAUGUUUAUUUCGGUGGUAUUUAUUUUUUAUUAAUAAUUUAAAGUGACUUAAUUAAAUUAAUUAAAUUAAUUAAAUUAAUUAAAGGUGUUUGCUUUUAUAAUUUAAUGAGAUUUUUUAGAUAAUUUUAACUUAAUAAAAUAAACUAAUUUUUUUAGCUUUUUACUUAAUAGAGAAAUUUGAAUUAAGUCAAUUACUUACUAAUAUAAAAAAUAUCCAUAUUUUAUAAUUUAUUUUUCAUGUCUAUCCCAAAACUCACUCAUAGACAUUUACCCCACAUAAAAAUAUCACAAUUUUUUCUUUCUUAUAUUAUAUACGAUAAAUUUUGAAUUUUAUUGUAUUUUAUAUAUUAAAAUUCUAAAAUAAUUAUGUAUUCACUUGAAUAUAGAUUUACUUAUAAAUGUUAAAAUAUUGUGGUAUUUAAUAUAUUAUUUAUUUGACAUUCAAAUUUAAUAAGGAUACAAAUGUAAAAAUAUAUUUUUUUAACUUUUUCAGUUGAAAAAAACAAACAACUUAAUACUUAUUUUUUGAGAUUCAAACGAAAAAACAAACAUAUUAUUCAGAUUCAAACAUUCAGAUCUAUUCAGAAUUCAGACUAAUUCAAGUCUAUUCAGAUUUCAGACAAAAAAACAAACGCCACCUUAAUUUCAUAAUUUUUUAUUAAAUUUUUUCUUAUUAUUUAAUUUUUUUUAAGUAGAACAUUUAAAUAUAAAAAAUUAUUUUAUCUUUAUUAAUAAAAGCUCAGAUUAAGAUUUUAUGAGUAGAGAUUGAAAAAUUUCUCUUAAAUAUUUAAAUAUUUAAAUUUUUUAUUUAUUUAACAAUUUUAUUUCAUUUCUUUCAUAAUAUAAUUUUAAAAAAUUUACCUAUUAAAAUAAUUUUAUUACUUUUAAUAUAAACUCUCGUUGACAAUUAAACAACUAAAUUUUUUUUUAAUAAAAACUUUACUUGUAAAAAUUUUACUAAUAAAAAUUCUAUUUAAAUAAACUUUAUUUGAAUAGUUACAGCAAACGGAACCUUUGUUGUUUGCAGCUUCAACUUUUAAGCCGGUGCCAUAAUAAGGCCAGAUUAAUUGUUUAAUCAUUUGUUUAUUCGGGAUUCAAACUUACUAUUAGUUAAAUAAAAUUACUGAAAAAUUACUGUUUAAAUUAUAAAUUUAUGGUAAUAAAAAUAAAUGUCAUGUCUACUGUAUAAUUUAAAAUUAAAAAAAUUAACCCACAACAUAUAAAAAAAUAAUAAUUAUAUAGAUUUCAACCAAAAUACCUAAAUACGUCUACAACAAAAAUCUUUUAUAUAAUAUUUAAAAUAAUCCAAAAUAAUUGGAAAAAUUAGCUCAGAGCAUUUACCCUCAGUUAUUGUGUUGAUAGAAGUUUAUGAAACUACUAACUGUACCCUACAAAUUAUAGCGUACCCACUUGUAACAGCUUUAAAGAACCGAGCAUAAUCAUCGUUAAUUUUUUUUUCUUUUUUGUUAAUUAAAACCGAAAAAGAAACGGAUUAAAAAAGGCUGAAUAGGCUUACUUGUAGAAAAAGCAGGCCGAAAAAGACUGAUAAUAAAUCCCAAAGCUGUGCCCAUUUUCUUCCAAGGACUCAAAAACAGUCUUCUGAGGAUACCCCGCAAUAAGUUUAUUCCUAUCGUUACUUGUAGCUCCAUGCGACGUCGCUGAAUGCAAAUACAGCCUAUUCGACUGAGUCGAACUCGGUAUCGAGGAAAACCACCGAUCACAGACAGCAAACUCAGUCGCCAACUCUUUAUAAACGGGCAAAGUUUCGGGCUUAAACCCGUUCAUAACAAUCUCCGCCAUCCCUUUCUGUAUGCUCUCAGCAUUCUGCACGAAUCCAUUCAUCUUCGGACCCGUCUCAGGAUUCGGGUCCGGGUUGUUCCAGUCCCAUGGCUUGCCGAAAACUUGCUCGUAUAUGGCCUGGAAUGAGUGUCCAGGAUCUGGGUCGAUGUGAGCUGCCGUGUUCUUGAACUGUAGGUGGGUGGAGCUCGGGUCGGAGGCGGAGACUGGGUUGGAUUCUGAACCGGUGACGCCGUCGAUCUCUGGGUUGAGUGACUUGAACCAGCCGAGCAUGUGGUCGAAUGAGCGGUUCUCUUGCACCAAAACGACCACCGUUUUGAUGGGGCUGCUGCUACUUUCUUCGGCUACCAUUUUUGUGAUUUUUUUUUUCAAUGUGAUAAUAACGAUGUUUUGACGAUUAUUUGUGUCCGAAGAUAUUUAUAGAAAGACAAUGAGAUAGAGAGAGAGGAGAGGAAAGCGUGAGAAAGAUGCCGAGUUAUGUAAGAAAUAAAAUUUUAUUUUAAUUUAUUAAUUUGGUAGGGCCUGGGAUAGUGAGAGGAAAUCAGGAAAAGAUUAUUCACAAAAAAAACGUUUACUUUAGUAAUUAAUAUAUGCUUUAAAACGUGUUUAAGUAAAGAUAAAUAAGAAAUGCGUGUAAAACGAAUCCAAUUGAUGCAUCAGAGUUUACCCAUUGAAUGACUCCAACACACAACAUGCUAUUUAGUUUUUUGAGCGACCAAAUAUGACGUGCUGCUUGUGAAUUGGCUCUGCUUGUCUCGUCAGCUACUCAUAUUUACAGAUGGCUAGUUCCAUGUCAGAGUAAAAACUACUAUCAAAGUAUUCGAUAAAUACAUAGAGCUUACUUUGGAGAUAUAAUUGAUUUUUCUCCACAAUUAUUUGAUAAAAAACAAGUUCUAAAAAUCUGAUUUUAAACAAAUUUUACUUAAUAUCUAAGAUCGCAACAAUAAACAAAGUUUACAAUGUCAAAUUGCAUAAAUAGGAAGCAUUUUGUUUUAGAAGAUCAUUUGAUCGCAUAAUAUUUUACAUAUUUUAACAUAGACGAUAAGUACUUAUCCAUAUUUCAACAAAGACGCUAUAAUAAUUCUGAAACUUUUUUUUCUAUUGAAAUUAUAUGUGUCUCUGACCGUGAGGAUCAGGUAAGGUGAUGAAAAUGACAUCAUCUAAUAUUUUUAUUGAAAAAAAUAAUAAUAAGUAGACUAAAUAAGCGUGUCCAAGACAAAUAAGAAUCAUUCUUAGUUAAUCAACCCAAAAACAAUAGAAAAAGACCUAAAAGAGAGAGAGAGAGAGAGAGAGAGAGUUGCAUGAGUGAAUUCGGGGUAUGAAAUGAUCACAAUGUUGAAUAUUUAUCGUUAAUUAAUUCUUCGAUUAAUGAUUAAAGGUGACAGCCUGGCUCUUUACUUUGAGAAAGAGGCUACAUGAUAAAGUUGAAAGUUCAAACCAAUCAAUUCCAAUAAAGAUAUCGAAUUUAUUAGUUAAAUAAGGUGUGGUGAUCGAGUACUCUCCAAUUACACUAAUCAUUAUGAAACAGCGCUGUCGUGUAGUGCUUAAAUAUCAGUAUGUGAGACAGAUGAGACAGAUCAUGAAAUAGACAAAAAAAAAGGAAAAUUAAGAAAAUUAUUGAAUGGACCGAUCUAUGGCGCAUAGAUCCCACCACGUGAUUUUAUCGCAAAAACAUGUUCAAAAUGACAAUCAAUCAAUAAUGUUAUAUACAUAUAUAAAUAUCAAUUUUUUAGUAGACAAGACAUAAAAUAACAAUUGGGUAAUUAAAUUAAGGAUAAAUAUGUGGUGCAACUGUUGCACCCAAUCGUUGGAUUUCCACUUAUUCAAGUGGACUCCACUUAUUUGAAUGGAUCCAACGACUGAUGAAAUUGUGGUACGGUACCACCCGUUGCACUGUAGACUGACCCUUAAAUUAAUAAUACUUUUGCAGUGCUUUCACGUGUUUUUAAUUUGGUAUCAAGUAUCAACGUUCUGCCUCUGGACAUAAUGUUAUAUACAUAUAUAAUGAAUAAUAAAUUGAUUAGUGCAAGUGUAUAUACUAUGAAUCUUCCAUAGUUACAGAAAAUAAUAAUCAACGUUAGAAGUGCAUUGGGUAGAUAUUAUAUCGACAGUAGAAAAUUGACCCUUAUAUAAUGUCAUGAUUGUAAUUUGAUGUGAGGAUAAGGACCAGGAGUUUCAGGUUUUAAAAAUUAAAGCCAGCUCCUAAUUAACAGCGAUAUAGCUUAAAUUUUAAAUUAAAUCUAGUUUUGAAUAAUUGAGUGACGUACGGAAGAGUCUUAUUUAAAUAUAUUAGAUAAAGUAAUAAAAACCCUACAAGACAAUUUUAUUGAAAAAAAAAACUUGUUUUAAAAAAAAAAAAAAUCUACCAAUCAGAUCCAAGAUUGACAUGUUGCUAGUGGCUGGCAACAACUGGAAAUUGGCAAUGGCCAGCGGUGGCGGAAUCGAGAUUUUAGUUCAAGGGAAGUCAUAAUAUAGAAAUCAUAAAUUUGAGUGGGCUAAAACAUAAAAUCGAUAAUAUUGAGAGGGCCAAAUAUGAGUACUAAAAUGGAGAAAUCAUAUAACUAGGUGCACUUUAAACAUGAAAAAUAAACAUAAGGGGGCCAACUGUAAGUUUUACCUAGAAGUUGGUAAAUUUCAGUUUAACCCUUAUUUUAUGAGAAAAAUUUUCCAACCCAUCAUAAAAAUUUGAGCGGCACCGAUAUUCAACCCACAGUAAGCACCACAAUAAGCAUCGAACGGUACGUUUUGGGUGCAAUAUAAAAGGUUACUGUUUGAACACACAAACACAAUACACGCGCAAUAGAUCUCACACAAUAUCGUCACUCUCCCUCUCAUUCACACCAAAUCCACUCCUCACUCAAGCUAGAAAUCUCAGCAGCUAAUUCUCCUAUGCCACUUUUUGUUCCACUCGUGGACUCUCCCUCACAGUGUGAAAUCCAUCGGCUCUCUCUCACAGUGUCUCAUUGUCUUGGCUGUGUGACGAAUUGAGUUGCAUCUUGGUGACUGACUUCACUCAUCGUUGGUUGCGACAAUCAAUUUCUGCAAGUAGUUUGCUUCAUUAACUGGAAAUUUUUUUGUGCUAAUUAUUAAUUCGUGACAUCUUAGUUGUUAUUAUGUUAAUUUAUAUUGAUUAGCUAUUAAAACUUGCGGUUAGGAAUUAUAGAAUGUUGUUUAAUUUGUUUGAUAAUUACUGAUGAUUAUGCAAGAAAACAUGAUUUGGAGCAUGUUCGGCAGCCAUAGAAUUUUAUAACUUUGAUUUGCAAGUCUAGCCUCAGGCAGGAUGGAGCAAACAUUCAAGUGUAUUACAAAGUUAAUAUUAAGCACGGAAUAAAUAAAUAUGCUACAAUCAAAGACACAAAUUAUGUUAUUUUGUGUUGAGACUACUGGGCAAGUAAGGUAGUUUAGUUUUAUGUUGAAAACAAUAACACUUAGCUUUAGAUUCAGCUGUUAUUAUGGUAAUCUGUUUUCACAAUUUCUAUCAUCAGUUAGUUUAGUUUUGUAAGGUUGUGCUGAUUUUUUCAUGGAAGCUUAAACAAGGGAAGCUUGCAUAGGAUAUGAAUUAGUUUUAUGAGGUUGUGCUGAAAUUUAAUUUUGUUUUUGCUACUUUUGUUGAUAUGAAUUAUUUUGUUUUUUUAAAAUUAGUUUUGUUAAAAUGAAUUGUUUUCAUUUUGUUGCUUCCACUUUGUCAAUAUGAAUUAUUUUAAUUUUUUAGAAAUAAAGAAUAUGGAAAAGGACAUUGAAGUUGAAGAGUUGGAGAAAAUUGAGGAGGACGAUGAGCUAAUAAUUGGGAUGUCAUUCGAUAGCGAUACCGAUCUGUUUAUUUACUUCAAAGAGUACAACAAAAGAAAAUGAUUUCCGAUUAUGCGGAGAACUAGUAGAAAGGAUAGUGAUGGGAUACUUAGAAAUGUGACUUUUGCUUGUGGGAGAAGUGGUGAGAAUAUUUAGGGACCAGCCCCCAUUUUGUUUCUCAUCCCAUUAGAAGAUUAUUGGAAAUAUCCCUUAUUUAGCACAAAUAACACAUUUCGGGUAUGAACAGGAUUGGGGUUGCCCCAAAGUUUGGGGAUAAGGAUAGGGAUCAUGAUCCCCGAACCAAAUCUCCAUUUCCAUUCAUAAAUAUUCCAACACAAUUAGAUAUGGUCAAUGGGCCAGUUUGCAAAUGGCACGGCAUGUGCGUGGACUGGAUUGAGAAUUUUAGGCAUGUGCACCCUAAAAGUACAGUACGAUUAGAGAUGAGAUAAAACACGGCAUGUGAAAAAGGCCUGCAACAAGCAUGUUUCACUUUUUAAUGGAACUAAACUUAAAAUUUUAUUAUUUUACAUAUAACUUACAAUUGAAAUCUUUUAAUGUAUUUUAUUAGCUUAGAUUUCUUUUUAAAUUCAUUUAAUUCUAGUUUUUUUUUUUAAAAGUAAGGGGGUGGGCAAAGCCCAAAUAGAUUUUUAUUUUUCCCCCUUACUAUCCCCAAGACUUAAACCCCGGCGUUACCUACUACAAGUUUGAUGCUGUUAACAACCCGACCACGCCCUUGGGGGUUUCGUUUAAUUAUAGUUUAACAGUAAAAACUUUAAUUGUUUUAUGUUAUACUUUAUUAAAUGAAUAGAUGAUACCAUGAUUUUGGUAAAUAAAAUUAAAAACAUCAAGAUUUUAUAAAAUAUAUGUAUUAAUAUUAUUAUGAAGUAUGAUCUAUAAUUCUAUGUUAAGUCCAAAUUAAUAAUUAAGUUAACUUUUAAGAAAAAUUUACUAUUGUUGUUGUAACUGCUAAGUGUUAAAAAAGAAUUCAUGUUACAUUCUCUUAAUAUUAUUAGUUUGUUAUUAUUGAAUAUGAACUUAAAUUUUAAAUUUUUGAUUUUAUUGAAUUUGACUAAAGACGUGUGGACUUAUGAGCUCGAAAAAAAUGCAUUAACAACUUGGCUUGCCCUAUUUAAAAAAAUGAAAAAAAAAAGUUUAUCGUGCUUUUUUCAUAAGCAUGACCUCACGACACAGCAAGCUUAGACUUGGCACGUGUGUAGGAUCGAACCUAAGCAAUAAAAAAGGCACAAUAUGACACAACAUGAAAUAAAUAGUGAGCCUUGUCGUGCCGACCCACAGCCUCUCAUGGGCCUUCUUUUUCCGCCCCAAUAUUAUUAUAAAAAUAUAUAUAGCAGUUCGGGUACUAUUUUUGAAUUUGGAUUCGGUUCUAAUAUGAGCUACGCUAAUAUUUUAAAGAAGUAAAUUUAACAAUAUUCAAAAUAUCCUUAUUUUUAUAUUCGAUAAUAUUUGUUUGAUUGAAAAAUGAAUUAACGGAUUAGAUUUGUCAACAUCAAUCUAUUAUGGCAAAUAUUCAACAACUUCUUUUUUUUUUUUUUUUAGGGAAAUAAAAUUCAUUAAGCAGAUAACUUAGAAAUCAACCAAGGGGGUGGAACAAGCCUCCACUCCCCCGGACCUGACAAAGAACCCCCCACCCGAGCAAUAGAGUGAGCAGCGGAGUUCGCAGAUCGCCUAACAAAGGAGAAAGUAACAUCUCCUAUAGAAUGAACUAAAGCUCUACAAUCGUCAAUAAUAAAACCAAAACCAUUAUGGCUAAAACUAUUAGUAGUCAAAGCAUUGAAAACUUGCAAGCUGUCCAUUUCAACAAUGACAGGAAAAACGGGUAAUCCCUUGAGCCAACUGAGGAUCUCUCGCACUCCAAUAGCUUCAGCCUCCCGGGCACCAAAACUACCUAUAAAGCAGUCACUCCUUGCAGCUAUGAAAACCCCAUCUGAAUUACGAAUGACGGCCCCAUGACUAAUCUUGCCACUGGAAGAGAAGGUUGUCGCAUCAACAUUGCAUUUAAACCACCCCACACUUGGCCUUUGCUAACACACGGCCCCAUGAGAAUCUGACACAAAAGUGGUAUCAAACAGCUGCAGCUUCCUCACAGAACACCAUUGAAAAAGAACAUGGCCGGCUAGAUUAAGAACACUUGACAACCUCCCAUUUUUGUUCUUCCAAACCUUAGAAUUCCUAUUCAACCAAAGGCUCCAACAAAUCAUGGCAGCAAGGUCACAAUCAUCACUGCUACAGCGGGCAAAGACUCUCGCCAGCCAAUCCCCAAAAUACAUACAACCCCCCUCAAAACCAAUUGGAGACAAGAACCAACAGGAUUUAGCAAAAGAACAGUUCAACAGACAAUGGACAACAGAUUUAUCAGCUGCAUUACAAAUGGGACAGGUAGAAGCUAACUCAACUUGACGGCAUCGUAAGUUAUCCGCGGUUGGCAGGACAUUAACCCCCGCACGCCAAAUAAAAUGCUUAACUUUAGCAGGGACUUUAAGCUUCCAAAUUCGUUGCCAUAUAUUACUAGAAGGAAUCUCCGAAAGGUAAACUAACAUUUUGUAGCAGCUACGAACAAUAAACAAACCUUUAGAGUCAGCAGACCAAUACCAGACAUCACCAUCUAUUAUGCUACUUAGAGGAAUUUGGGUGAUAAGACCUCGAUCUUUCUCAUUAAAGAUAUUGGUCAGAGCAUCCAAGUCCUAGUUGCGUUGCCCUGGUAACAUGAGACUGCUUACUGGAGCAUUGAUUAUAGCAUCAGGCAUGGGGGUAGUAACAUAUCCAUGAUCUAGAUCUGGAAGCCAAGGAGAGCCAUCAAUCGUGGUUUGAAGACCAUUACCGAUUUGAAUGCGACUGCCCUGGGUAAUCACAUGAUGCGCUGCCAUAAUAGACCGCCAAGCAUAGCUAGGAUUGCUUCCCACAGUAGCUUUGCCAAAUAAGGUCAGCGGGUGGUAUCUAGAUUUAAGGAUGCGCGCCACCAAGCUAUCAGGCUGAGAUAAAAGCCUCCACCCUUGUUUGCCAAGCAUUGCCACGUUAAAGUAAUGCAGCUGCUUAAAGCCGAUUCCACCAUGAGCUUUAGGCUUACAUAACAUCUCCCACCGCAUCUAAUUAAUCCCUCUACUGUCACUCCGAUGAUUACCCCACCAGAAUGAAUUCAUCAUGCGCUCAAGCUCUCUACAAAGAUCUAAAGGAAGAAGGUAUAAGUUUAUUGCAUAAUUUGGCAUUGCCUGUGCAACUGUUUUCAAUAAGAUUUCUUUCCCCGCUCUAGAUGCUUCUGAUUCCAGCCUUGGAGACGACGCCAAACCUUGUCACGGAUAAAUCGAAAUGCCUCAUUCUUGUUUCAGCCAAUAGAAGAUGGCAAGCCAAGGUAGGAGCCAUGGUUGCUGGUAGCUGCAACCUCCAGAAUGUCGCAAACUUGCUGAGCUGAGGCAGCCCGAAUAUUAGCACUAUAAGAAAUCGAAGAUUUAUUGUAGUUCACCACUUGUCCCGAAGCUGCCCCAUAACUGGCCAACGACUGUUUGAUGAUCCUAGCCUCUUGUUCAUUUGCGUGAAAGAAAAAGAAGCAGUCAUCCGCAAAAAAGAGAUGAGUCACAAUCAGAGCUCCCCUAGCUACCCUAAUUCCAUGCAUCAAGCCUGCCCUCUCUUGCUUGCGAAGUAAAGAACUCAACCCCUCUGCACAAAUGAUGAACAGAUACGGAGACAGAGGAUCUCCCUGCCGCAGCUCUCUGCUAGGAACAAUUGGGCCCACUUCCUUAUUGCCCUGGAGAACCUUAUAAGUGACGGUAGAAACACACAAUAAGAUUAGCUCAACCCAUCUCGCAGCGAAUCCCAGUUUCAACAUCAUAGCUUUUAAAAAACCCCAUUCAAUCAUAUCAUACGCCUUGGACAUGUCAAUCUUUAAGGCUGCAAUCCCUGUCUUCCCUUGCCGCUUUCGCUUUAAAUAAUGCAUAAUUUCUGCCGAUAUUAGGAUGUUAUCAGUGAUGGCCCUCCCAGGGACAAAUGCACUUUGAUUCUCAGAGAUAAUCGAGCUGAGGACAGCCUUCAUACGAUUAGCUAACAUCUUGGCCACAAUCUUGUAAAGAACAUUACAUAAUGCUAUUGGUCGUAAGUCAGCUAAAUACUCAGGUUUAGACUUUUUUGGAAUUAACACUAUGGCAGUAGCAUUUAACUCAUCAGGGAAUUCACAAUUAUCAAUGAAAUUUAAACAAGCAGCAGUAACAUCACCUCCAACAAUAUGCCAAAAUUUCUGAAAGAAUGCAGGGUUCAUACCAUCCGGUCCGGGCGAUUUGUCUGGAUGCAUGCUAAAGAGCGCAUCACGAACAUCAGUAGCCGUGAAAGUCUCCAAUAACUCCUGAUUCUGUGCAACAGUAAUCUUAGUUGCAACACAUGAAAUAAUAUCUACACUAGUACUUCCUUCCGAGUGAAAUAAUUUUGAGAAAUACUCCCCGAUUAAAGAGUUCACCUCUGCUGGAUUUGAGCACCACUGGCCAGAGCUAUUCCGUAAUCUCCCAAUCAUGUUCUGUCGCUUCCUCUUAGAGGCAGUAGAGUGGAAAUACCGGGAGUUCAUGUCCCCGUCCUUCAACCACAGCGACUUCGACCUUUGUUUCCAAAACAACUCAUGGUUGUGCAGUAACUCAUUGUAACGCUUCCUUGUUUCCACAAAAUCGGCCACACUCGUUUGAUCUGGACAGCCCCUAAGAGACCUCAUUUUCUGCUUGCAGGAAGCCAACUGAUUGACAAAAUCACAGGCAAGAUGACCUCCCCAACGCAUGAGAGCAGACCCAUAAAACAGAAGCUUAGAUUGAAUAGGGCAACCACCUGAAAGCUCCCAACUCUUUGUAACCACCUCCAUACAAUCCGGCUCAUGAAGCCAAACAUUCUCAAACCUGAACCUCUUAAUCCUAGGAAAUUGAUGGUGCGAGGAAGGGCCCAGAAAAAUUGGCAGGUGAUUGGAACACAUAGCCUCCAGACACACUACACUAGCUUUCGGAAAAAAGGAGAGCCAAGUGCUGGAAACCAGAGCUCUAUCUAAUCUCUCCUCCACCCUGUCAACCGUACCCCGAGACCUCUCCCAAGUGUACUGAUAGCCUUCCAUGCCUAAGUCAACCAAACCAGAAUCUGAGACAGCCGCACGAAAGGCUUGAAGCUUCCAAUUUUGGUGCUGACAGCUGCCACGCUUCUCACUAUUAUGCAGGAGAUCAUUGAAGAAGCUCCCAGGAAUCUCGCCUUUUGCUCGUCUCAGGGAAGCCGUAGAACCCCGUACACCGCCACGUUCUAGAGUCUGCAUUUUCUACUCGGACGUCAAUGAAGUUACGCCCAAAUUUGAGAAGCCUAACAUUAUGAGAAGAGUUCCAGUAAAGGGCGAGCCCACCACUUCGGCCCACUUUAUCCACAUUAAACAAAUUAUUAAAGCCCAACUUAAACUUCAAGUUCUCUAAUUUUUCUCUACUACAUAAAGUUUCCAUUAGAAAUAUAAAAUUUGAUUUUUUACUUCUGACCAAGUCCAACAAAACCUGCACUGUCCGUGGGUGGCCCAGCCCACGGCAGUUCUAACUUAAGCAACUCAUGGCUCUCGGUGUGCCUGUGAACCAGGACCCACUGCUAAUUCGUUUUUUGAACCACCCACAUUCUCUAUCACUUGGGUGUGUUUGGUCUCAUCGUUCCCCAACUCUAGCUGCAUUGCACCAUGAGCCCUUCUCCGUUUGGCAUCUAUAACAAUAAUACCAGAGUUAAAAUCUUCCCCACAUUCCUGCAAUUGACCCGAAACUUUAGGAGAUGCCAUCACUUCAUUUCCUUUAUCAACCAGUUGACCACGUUUUGUCAGAAAAUGUUGAGAUCCUGCUAUAGUAUCCAUAAUCCCGGUAAUGUCUCCCCUCUCAUAAUUGUUUCCCUUAUUCAAGCCUGGAUUUAUGGUACCUUCCAUAUCAACUGUCAUGGCCUCACCGGAAUUAAUGCAGCUUCCAAAUUUCAUCUCCUCCUCCCCUGGUGGAGUUGACCGCAGCCAGCGAUCGCCGACGUUCAUCAAAUUUCUACGUGUAGGCGCCUUCAUCCAGUGGCCAUACGGCUUAGUAAUAGUAGCCGUAGUACACUCAUACAAAGAUGGACACCUUUUCUCUGUGUGACCAAGGAGACCACAGAUAAAACAAAACACAUUCAACCUUUCGUAUUUGAAAUCCACCCACAUCCAAUCUCCAUCUGCUUUCUUGAGACGCAUCCUACGCUUGAGAGGCUGCCUAACAUCAAUGGCCACCCGGAUCCUCAUAUAGUUCCUCCAAAUCCCUUUAAGGUUAUUUUCAUCCGAUUCCACAGACUUGCCAAUGUAAUUACCAAUGCUCUUUAAGAUUUUCUCUGAUUGAAAACCGAUAGGAAGGUUGGAGAUUUGGGUCCAAAAUGAUGUAUGAAAUAAAGGUACAUGUUGAGGUUGAUCCUCUGCCCCCAGCUGCUGAACGAUGAGAAUAUGUUGGUCAAAUGUCCAAGGCCAUGAGUCUAUCACUCUGUUGAUGUCAAUUUCAUGAAAGAAUUGAAAGAGAAAUAGUCUAGGCGACAGAUCUUUAAUACAAACUCCUCUGCCAGGCCUCCACAGCGAAGCCAUAGUGCUCUUCAUGGCUGGAAAGUUAAUCACUUUGUCCGUCAAAAACCUACCCACAAGGCAGUAACAGAAAUCACUUUUGGCCUCCUCGCGAUCAUCAUCCUCAGCCCCCGCUACAAUUAUCCCCCUUUCCUCCUCCUCAGCAAGAGUAAGCCGUGCAUAAGAGUUGUAUAAGUCAGCCUCCAUGGUUGUGCUCGUACCCGCCAUACUCAGAACAACGUGACUAACUUGGUUGAGGCGAAACAGUGAAUAAAAAAAAACUAAAGAGCAAAGAAAACGAAGAAGGUAUUCAUUUACUUGUCAAGAAGACAAGACAAAACACACUUGCCAAAAGACAAGACUUUUUUUUAUUUUGUUAAUUUGCAUGAAGUCAAUUUCAACAACUUCUUUUAGUUCUUAUAAAAAGAAAAAUAAUUUCUUUUAGCGAACCUCACCUCAAUCACUUCAGUCCCUGUCUCUCUUAUGUUUUCUUUGGUUUGCACGUAUACCUGCAAAUCAAUUUUGUGAUAAAUAUCUUUCAAUAUUAAAGAUCUCUCUAAAAAGUUUAUUUUUUAAUAUUUGCCAUAAUAUCACAGAAUCAAGAAACGAGUUAAAUUAUUGAUGUAAUCACAGAAAGGAUGCCGUAAGAUUGAUGUCAUUGAAGCAACCAGGAUAGGGAUGGCAAUGGGGCAGAUAUGGGUUGGAUCUACUCUGCUCCAGAUCCAAAUCCAUAAUAAAAAUUAAGAUCCGUAUCUGCUCCAGAUCCGUUAUGAAUCCAUAUUUUUCGCUCCAUAUCCAGAUCCAAAAGAGAAAUAAAUAUCUAUAUCUGCUCCAAAUCCGAAAAAAAAAUUAAUAUCCAAAUCUGCUCUAGAUCCGUCAUGAAUUCUAAAAUUCCGUAAUAAAAAAGUAAUAAUUUUUUAGAUUGAAAAUUGAAGGCUAAAAUGUAUUGAUAACAAAUAAAUUAUAUAAUUUUUCUCAAAAAUAUAAUAAAUAUUGUAGCGUAUACUUCUACACCAAAACAACAGAUAAGAAAGAUAAUAAAAUAUCAUUCAGAAGUAAUUGCAGGAGUAAGAUCAAUCUAAUAUUCUAUUGUCUCCUUCAUCAUUCUAAUAUCCACGAUACACCUACCAUCAUUCUUCCAACAUUAGAUAAUGACAUAUAAAUUAAAUAUGAUUUAUAUUCAGUCCUUUAUUAUUUUUAUUAUGACCAUAUUUGACUAAAUAUAUGAAUAACUAUAUUCCUUAAAAAUUAUUUGGCCAAUAUGAUAAAAUAAAUUACCAGGUUAUAUUACUUAGAUUACAAUUUGAAUAUUGCAUGUACAUGCUUUGAGGCUGGCUGACCUUUAAAUUUACAAAACUAACCUUUAAGUUUUAAGAGUUUAAAUUCAUGGUAAAUACUACUAAUAUGCUAUGAAUAAAAUUUAUUAUUAUUAUCAUUCCACAAUUAUUAAGAAACUUUUAAAAUAAAAUAAAAUUAAAAGAUGAGUGGAUAUGGAUAUGGAUUUAGAUAUUAAGAUAGAUCCAUAUCUGCUCCAGAUCCGUCUUAGAUCCGUACAUCGAUAUCCAAAUCCGAUCCAAAUCCAUUUUAAACCGAUCCAAAUCCGAUCCAAUUGGAUUUGGAUCACAUGGAUCUUGGAUCAAAUCCAAUCCAUUGCCAUCCCUAAACUAGGAACUCUGGUCCAAAUCUUUUUGCAUAUGAUUUUUUCUUAUUCUGUCGUUUUGGAGUUACUUUGUGACCGCCUUAUAUUUAGGCCAAAAAAGUAUUUUAAUUAUAUUGUGAUUUAUGCAUAUAACCCAUGAGAUAGAUACGAGUCAAAUUAUCGUUGUGUGAUUGUAAGGGAGAUUAAAAUAGAGGAGAAAGAUAGAGAGAAGAGAGAGUGAUUUAGGUGGGAUUGAGAUGAAGAGAGAAAACUAAAAGAAAUUGUUGAGCAUUUAACAUUGACAAAUUUAAUAUUAUUCAUCUUCAGUUCAAGGAAAAUAUUAGCAAAUGUAAAAAAUAAGUGGGUAUUUGUAAUUUGUAAAGGGCAGCUGAUCCAUCCUAUAUUAUCAAUACUUAAUUACACAUAUAUUCUUAUUCAAUAAACUAUAAUAAUAAUAAUAAUAAUAAUAAAUUAAUUAAUUACACACAGAUCGAAUCUAGGCACCGUUGUGCUUCUUAAUAAAAGUUAAGUCAAUGACACUGUACAAAUAAUAAUGUAAAUGCUCAGUAAAUUAACAAUCUCCAUCAGCAUAUAUCUUCAAAUCCCUACCGUGCGUAGAAAAAUGUAAAAUUUUCAUUUUGGAACGAGUCACAAUUUAAUUGUUGCAUGCCAAACACGACAACAAUUUGCGACCAAAAGAUUUUGACUUUCGUUGCUUUGUAGUAGGGGUUGGCACAACAACAAUCUGGGACUCAUCGACGCCCUCUGCCUCGGCUUUCUCGCACUGACCACGGAAUUUCUUGAACGCAUCUUCAACGUACUUAGCGCCUUCGGCAACCGUCAUCUCUUCGACGAGUUUGUGCGGAUAAAUAUCCUUUUUGUAAUCACCGUUCAAUGUCGCUGCCAUUUGCACUAAUUCUUGCUGAAAAUCGGUGAGUUUUGCAUCUUCUUUCGCUUCGCCGUCCCGCAGUUUCAACGUCGGCUCAGGCAACGUAACUGCAACAGCCAAUACAUACAUAUCCAUAAGAGAUUAAUGUCAUAAUAAAAAUUUGGAACAACGAUAUUUUGAUCCCUCUUUAAAAACUGUAUCAGGAAUCCAAGUGGUAAAAAUAAGUACUGAGAUGAAUCAAGGUGCUCCUGUCCCCUUAUAAUUUUGUAAUAUUCAUGUCAGAACAUAACUGAUGAAUUAAAGAAAGUGUUGUAAUUAAUUACCAGGACAAUCAGUUCUCGGACUUGUUCUAUUGAGAACGGAUUCGAAAGUGCCAGCCCAGGCAUCUCGUUUCGUGAGAAACUCUUUUAGAUUGAAAAUCUUUUUGACUGUUGCUGGGAUGGAGGAAUGCUCGAACUCUGAUGUAGGACUUGGCCCUGAAGGCCCAUGCAGCACUGUAUAAUUUUCACAGGAAAAAAGAAGAAGCUUUGAUUAUCUCUUUCAAUAUUUUAUUUUACCCUUGAUUUGAUAAUAUCAACUAUUGACCAAUAAAAAAUUCUAAGGAUAAAACAGUACAAUACGCAAAAGUGGAAAAUUAACAGAACUUCAGUGGAAUGCAUUGCAUGCAGAAAGAAAUUAAUUAAUGGCGUUAAGAGUUAGACUUACAUGUUCCACGUUGAAUCCAAGGUGAAAUGAAGAUGGUCGGAACCCUAACGCCGAGGCGGUCAAACUUAAAAUUAUAGGGCUCCGGGCCGACGAUAUCGUCGGGACUGGGUACUCCGGUGACGGGCGUCGGAACGUGAUCAUAGAAUCCACCGUGCUCAUCGUAUGUUAUAAUGAACAAAAUUUCAUUCCACUGGGGACUAGACCUCAGUGCCUCGUAAACUUCCUUGACAAAUUUUUGUCCUUCGGAGACAUCGUGCGAUGGGUGAUCAUCGUUUGCCGGCACGGAUAGGAGAUCGAAGUAUCUUUGCUCCACCACCACGUAGUUUGGUAGCUUCCCUUCUUCGCAAUCCUUCUUGAAAUGCAAAUCAAAUUGGUGGAAGUGCUUCAAGUACUUCAGUUUUCUUAGGUUUCUGGGAACACAGAAAUUAUCCUAUCAAGUCAAAAAUUAAGCCGUGUCCGCACAAAUUAUAGAGUUUUUUUUUUUAAGAAAUAUUAUGUUACAAUUAAAAAACUUUGUUAUGGUGUAGCUCAAAAGUCAAAAAACCUUGUGAUAUAUCAUCUUCAUAUGCAGGAAUCAAUAUAUAUGUUAUUACAAAUUAUGUGUAGAAUAUAAAAUUGAUAAAUUUUCCUUUCAAGUCUUGUUAAUUGUUUAGAUAAUUUUAUCGUUAUUUUUCCAAAAAAAAAAAAAACUACAUUUUUUAAAUUUGAAAAAUAACCAACUCUUAUUCUAAGGUAUAUAUUCUAGAAAUUCAUUAUCUGCCUACGUCGAAUUGAAAAUUUUUCACGACACAAAAUUACGCACACGGAAUUGACAAACAGUCCCUCAUAGCAAUUAGCAGUUGAUAUACUACGCUAUUGUAAUUUAACAUUAAACAUCUAAAUAAUUCCAGACGUAUUCACAUAUUAGACCCAAAAAAAAAAAAAAAAAACGAAUGCUACCAAACUCUUAAGUGUUUACUUCUCUUCGUAUAUAUAAUAUUAAAUGUUAAUGUUUUAUUCGAUUGACUUUCUUUCUAAUUAAAUUAUCCACAUUUAAUUUUGGUUGAAAUCUUAUAUAUAUAUAUAUAUAUAUAACCAAUAAAAUUAUAAUUUUUUUGAUUUUAUUAUUAAACAUCUCAAUCCUUCAUAAAACUUUAGCUAAUUAAUAAAACAACUACAGCGACCGUCUUGAAGCGAGUAAAGCUUAAGGCUUAUUAUAUCAACCAAACAAGACACGCAACAUGAAUUCUUUCUUGUCGAAGCAAAAUUACGCUCCUGAGUCCUGAGCCUUAGAACCGUAUGUCAGCAAACUACUCAUAUCAAUAAACUCGCUUUCCUUUUCGACCGGUUCAACAUUAAAAUUUAAAAUUAAUCAAAAAUUAAAAAAAAAAAAAAAACAACGACAAAAGUAAUAUUAAUAGACAAAAUUUAUGUGUUGAGCACUGGAUCAAUGAUUGGGAUUUGAGUUUAACACUCAGCAGAAAAUCAGUCGCAAAAUCCUAACCAUUAAUCCUGUGCCAGCACAAAUUCAAUAUUAGUUAUUUAAUAAGUUCAAUAUUAGUUAUUUAAUUAAUGAAUUUACCUGUAGAAAAGGGUUGCUGGAGGGUACUGAUAAUAAAUCCCAAAGCUAAGUCCGCUCUCAUCCAAGGACUCGAAAAUGGUCUUUUGCGGAAACCCUUCAAUGAGCUUCUCGGUAUCAUUACUAGUGGCUCCAUGCGACGUCGCGGAAUGCACGUACAGUCGAUUGGGCUGCGUCGAGGCCGGCACCGACGCGAACCACCGGUCGCAGACACCAAACUCAGCCACCAGCUCCUUGUAGACCGGCACCAUAUCCGGUUUAAACCCGUUCAUGACGCUCGCCGCCAUUCCCUUUUGAGUACUCUCAGCGUUCUGAGCAAACCCUUGCAUGUUAGGACGAAGAACGUGAAGCUCCUCGUUGUUAGAAGAAGACGACGACGAUAAUGACGUGUACUGGGCCCACGUCAGGCCAAAGACUUGCUCGAAGAUGGCCUGGAUGGAGUGGCCGGGGUCCGGGUCGACGUAGACGGACUUGUCCCCGAAGUAGAUGAGGAGGGAGUUCGGGUCGGACGUUGAAAUGGGGUUGGACUCGGAUCCUGUAACCCCGUCGAGUUCAGGAUUUAGUGAUUUCAUCCAACCAAUCAUGUGAUCGAACGAGCGGUUUUCUUGAACCAAAACCACUAUGGUUUUGAUGGGGUAAGGAUAUUGAGAAGAGGAAGUGAUUUCUGCUACCAUUUUUUAUUUUUUUUAUUUUUUUUACUUUUUGGGUUGGGUUUUGCAGUUUUGCUCUUGUGUAUUUUUAUUUGUUUUGUUUUUUGCUUUUGAUAAUGGGGUUUGAUUUUUAAGGUGAACUUAUUAGAUGAAUGUGCAGAUGAUGAAACAGAAAGAUACGCAAAAGAUAUUAAGGAGAAGUUGAAAUGAGAUUCGUGUGGGAAUCAAUGAAUGACGACAGAAGAAGGUUUGUUUUGCUACGAAGCUAAUGCAUGGGCUGUUAGGUGAUGUAACAAAAGUUAUGUAUGUAUGGGCAUGUGCAAUUUAUUUUUCUUUCUUCUUUUAUGAGCUAGUAGUUGGACAUAUUUGGGAAGAUAGGUUGAAUUGGAUUCAAUAUGUUUGAAAUGCUUAUAUAUAUAUAUUGGGGAAUAAAAAGUUUUGUAUAUUUAUAGAAACGAUAUGCAAUAUAUACUUUUGAAAUUGUGUGUAUUAUUUACUGUAUGUGGGUUAGUUUAAUUAAUAUCUUUUCUAGUUUUGUAUUAAAAAAAUUAUUAAUUUUCAUUCAAAGUAAUCCAUAAGAUAUGAAAUGUGAAUCCGGAUGGGUAAACAAAUAUAUACAAAGCUAUAUAAACUGACGUGAUAUGAUAUAAUUAGAUAAAUGAACUAAGAAUAUUUAAGUAAUAAAUAGGAAUUUUUUUUCCUUUUAAAAUUACUGUCCUUCAGUCUAUAUGUCUAAUUAAUAUUGGUGCUGUUCUAAUGCAUAAGAAACUGUCGAGUAAUUAAAAAACAAGAAUUAACUAGGCAGUGAUCAUGUUGUGUAGUCUCUACAAUAUAUUUAAAUUGAUUAAAAAUAAACUAACACCAUUUUGAGUGUCUAAUUGUAGAUUUAAAAUACUUUAAUUCAUGAAAGAGAGGUUAUGCUAAUUUUCUAAGGAAUAAAAGCAUAUGCCAUGCGUGUGGAACAUACGUGUUCCCUUAUUUUUAAUUAAUUUGACACAUAUAAAAUGCUAACUAAUUGUCUACAAGAAAUCCAACACCCUCAAGUGAUCAUAAAUUUCGGGGAAAGCUCUAAAAACUUGUGAAUUGAGAAAUUGUACAUGCAUGUCAAGCUUUAACCAAUUAAUUUUCUUUAAUUUUUCAACAACAAGAAUAUAAGAUGAGACUUGACCUACCUGUUACUCUUGUGAAUAAAAAAAAUUGUGUGCCUGUAAAUGAAUGAAAUGGAUUUUCUUUCAUUUUUUUUUUAAUAAUAGGAUGAGACUUGCCUGAAACGAAAUGUACGGAUAUAUAAAUGUACUUUAUGUCAAAACUCAACUGUGCCCGACCCAUUUGGUUAGGACUUUAUGUCAUCCGGGUCGGCCCAAAACCAAACACAAGUACACAACCCAAACCAUAGCCAGCAUAGGUGCUAAGAAGAUUCUUCUACGUUGUCACUUGUCACCUUAACCCUAGUAACUUGGGACAAGAAAUGAAGAGAUUUAUUCAUUUUUAAUUAUGAUCCUCAGAAAAUAAAGAACAGGCACACAAUAUGAUGCUGAUAGGCGACGGCAAAGGUGGUUGAAAAGUUGUUAAUAUGUGGACAGCCUAAAUUGCUUGGCACACAUGUACAACUGUUCUUAGCAAUCGCUUUUACUGAAGAUAGAAAAAGCCAGAAGGGAUCACACAUUAUUAUAAUACUCGCACCCAUCUUAUCAUCGACAUUUUAUUUUUCUUCUUCUUGUUUUGUUUCUUUGCUUUGGUACAAAUCUUGAAGGUUAAAUCUCAACAAUUUUGUUUUUUUUUUUUUAACAACUUUAAUUCAUAUCAAAUCAAAUCUUAUGUGUCAUUAAAUAUUCAAUUGUAGAUUGAUGGGUAACAGACAAUCUUUUCAUAAAGCAAUUUUGGUAUCUCAGCAUUUUCUAGAUUAACGUACAAGCAAUAUAAGAGAGAAAAGAAAUAAGUUGGACAAUUUUGUCAGAUACUCCAAUGCAAAUGGCAUCUUGGGUCUUGGCCUAGUGGUACACAUUCCUUCCAAAAAAAAUUAUAAUUACUGAAAAUGAUGCUAAAGAUUCAAAUGGUUAGUCAAAAGUUAUGGGAAGGGAAAGAAUAAUUUUUAGCAUGUUAUAUUCUCCUUGUCAAUAAUUCUUUAAUUCAAUUCGUUCGCAUUUCCUCUUCUUAUUCAUACGGUCAUGAGUUUAUAUCAUCCCAUAUCGGGUUAUUAAUUAUUUAAUCGCGAUAGUUUUCUUAACUUCAUCUUUACCUAGAUAAGCUCUAAUAAAAUCUCAAUAUAUAGUAGAACUUUCAAAUAAAAAUAUUCUAUAUAAGAAUAACUUCUUCAUAGUAAAAAAAAUUUAUGAUUCCAAUUUGGAAUCAGUUAUAAUUAGGAAUAAACUCCAUAUUGUAAUAAGUUAUAUUUUUUUUAUAGGUCUUGUCUUAAUAAACUUACCUCCACAUAUUAAUAAUAUUUCAAAAAUAUAUGUCAUGUUACAUUAAAUAAUUAAGAUGAAACAAAAUAUCUUUCUAAAAUUAUUUGUGACAAUAAUUUGUUCUUUAAAGUUGCAACCACAUCUUUCAACUUGCGAGUAUGUAUUAAUUGGUCAGUAUAUUUAUGUUCUUUUUGAAGCCAAAAUAUUUCUAACUUAUCAAGUAUGUUUGUAACUUUCUGGUAUAAAACUUUUUUGUAUUAGUUUUUUUAAACUAUAUAUAAUUUUUAUUUAUAUCUAUCUAUUGAAUUUGACUCACUUAUUAAUUUAUUAAUUCAUGAUAUAAUUUAGCUCUAUAUCACUUGCAUUAAGGAUAAUUAAACCAAGACAAUAAUUUUUGUACUAUACCUCUAUUGUGUUAUAACUUUUUUAUAAAAAUAAAUUUCUCUGGUCCGAAGUCCCAACAAUAUAACUAUAUAGAGAUUUUACAAUAGUAUGAUAUAUUAGACCAAAUUUGAUGGAUGAAAUUUAGCGGUCACGACGAAAAAUCUUAGAAGGAAAAACGGUGCGUUAUUUUUCACAUUAAAGUGACAGUUGAGAGUUGAGACAUGAUGUGUUGUGUUGUUUGGAUUCCCCAUCGAUUAUGUGCCCACUUACUCUUUCAAUGCCUUGAAUUUGAAGCAUUGAAUCAAAGCGUGAGCACAGGGCAAAGGCACAGAGUCGUAGAUGCAGGGCAAUCAGUGUUUCCUCUUUUGCAAAGCAAAGUUUACUUCAAGGUACAUUGAACUCUUUAUUCAAUAACAAAGACUCCAUUAAGAGUUAAACUUGAAGGAGAAUGAUAAACCCUAGAAGCAAUUUCAACUGUUUUUGAUCCCUCGGGAAUAAAUAAAACCAAGAAUUAUCAAAAUCCCACAUGAUACCAGCGUCAAUUAUGGGUCAAAUCCAAUUAAUUUUUGCCUUUUCUUUUUUUCUUUUUCUUUUUUUCUUUUUAUCUCCUGGAAAUUGAAAAAAAAAAUUAUGACUAGAUUAGAAAGAAAAAAAACGAUCCUUGGGUAUGAUGACCAAAAAAAAAGGCAUCAAGCAGAACCUGAAACAGGGCUAGUUUGAAGUUUAAUUUAAAUAAACUAAACAGAACAAAAUAUGUACAAAAACAGUUAUGAAUUCAAUUAUAAAAUUGUGGGAAAUCUUCUUUUUUAUUUUUUUGGGGCAAGUUUAUAUGUAUUCAUUUUUUUUUUUCCUUAAAUGAAUCUAGGAAAAAAAGUUCCCCUUACAACUAAAAUUGUAGAAUAAGGGCUUUUGAGAUGAAUGAAUUCAACAGUUUUCAUUUCUUAACUUCAACCAAUUCAAGCUUCAAUAUUUUUCUUAGUAUUUUUUACUCUUCUCAAAAUUUUCCUCUUUGGACAUGAAAUGUUUGAAAAAUAUUUAAGUCCAAGGAAGAAGAAUAUGUCAGCACUUUCAUAAUAGACCUUAAUUACCCUUUAAUUUCUUUAAUUAGCUGGCAGAGGUUGUGAUACGCCAGCUCAAGAUUACACUAACUUUAAAAAUAUUGGCCCAAAAAAAAAAAAUAAUAAAACGAAUGUGAGCAAUCAUACAAAUUCUCUACCACCCACCAAAAGCUCUCAUUAGUUUUUCAACAUCAUUAAUAACUCUCCAUCAAUUGGAACAAAAAUUUAUUUAACUUAUUAAUAGUACCAACUAAGUUUAUAAUAAUUACUAAAGAACUAAUAAAGUAACACUAACACUUCUGUAUCAUAAUCAAUGAGUAUCCAGGAUUAAGGUUGUAAUCCAUUAUGUAACUCAAAUGCGGAAAUUGUCAAGUUGGAACACUUCAUUAAGACUGAUCAAUAGCAAUCUAAGUUCAUCUUCAAAGUCAAAUAAAAAUUUGUGAAAUCCAAUUAAAACUCUAUGUGGGUAUGUUCUAUAUGAUACAGAAGAAAAUAAAAAUAAAAUAGGGGGGGGGGGGGGAUUAGAUCAUUCCUGGAAAAUUAAUUUGGAAUAAUAACAGAAUUUCCAUCUUUUGAUCCAUACCUUGUGAACUUGAAUCUCCCUGUUGAAAUUGAUCUUUUCAAACCAAGAGAAGAAUUUCUAACAAGAUUCAUCACUUUGCUUCUGCUACUGUUAAUAUUUUCAGUGCUCUCCAAUUGAAUUUCUUCAUCAUCAUCUUCUUGUUCAUUUGUGCUUAAAAUAUCAUCAACCAAGAAUGGACCUUGACACGAAGAAGAGUUCAAUGAAACUGAUCUUCUAAUUGGCAAUGCAUCAACCCCAACUUCAAUUAUGCUAUCAUCUUGAACAUUUGGUGUCUUUGGAGCCUCAUCAUUAACAACAAUGCUAACAACAGCUUCAUUAUUCACCCCGUCUUCGAUGUCAUGUAUCACCAAAACAGCAGCGUCAUUUGUGUGCUGAUAUUGAUGCGCAGAAACAUUAGCAUCAGAUUCACUUACUUCCCCUGGAGCUGAAGCUUGAGCAGCGGGAAAUGAAAUAAUAGUGGCCCGGCAAAGGGGGCAACUCGAGUGAGAUUUUAACCAAGUAUCAAUACAAGGAAGAUGAAAUGCAUGGUUACAUUUUGGCAAUAACCUUAAGCUUUCAUGUUCUUGAAACUCACUUAAACAGACUGAACAAUCUGAGCCUUCAACCAAUCCAUCACCUUUCUUGUACUUACAAACAGUUAUAGAUUUAAUAAGUGCUUCAUCUAAACCAACAUUGUUACCAAGCUGCCAUGCCUGAUCAUUAGCACUCAUUUGAUCUCGAUUUUCACUGAACUCUAGGCCAGUUUCAUCGCUCCUUCUUUUACAAUACUUAGAGAUGAUAGUAUAAUAAGUGACAAGGAUAAAAGCACUUGCCAGGAUGCCAAUGACCGCGAUGAUCAAAGGAGAAAAAUCAGUGCCUGAAUCAUCAUCUUCAUCUUCCAGGUUAAAUGGAGGGGGCGGUGGGAAAAUUGUGUAGCACCCUUGAGGACAAUAUAUGCUACAUAUCGCUUGCGAACAAUCUUUGUAGGUAGCAUAUGGUGCCCAUGGAUUUUGAUUAUUCCCAACUGAAGUACUCAUGUUUCAAUCUAAAAUGAGAAAUUCAGUGUACUGAAUUUUGAAAAGCAGUUUGUUUAAGGGCAGUGUCUUCGUGGAAAGAAGAUAAAGGUUGGCAGGAAAAAGAGGUGGGGCUUAGAGGGGAAGCAAAGCAAAAGUAGAGUAGAUGGGGAGUUGAUGUGUCUCUAUCUUAUCUUCUACUUUAUUCUUUUUCCUCAGUGCUUUUGCCCACCUUUUUUUUUUUUGGGCUUUUUUCUCAACCAGGGUUGAUAAUUCGUUGACUAAUUUUGGAGUUUCUUUUGUGGUGAAUUAGGAAGUUGCUUGAAUUUAAUCAAAAUGUCCAAAGCUUUAAUUGGUUGGUGAAGUGUAGGUGAGUAGACUCUCUUGGCAUUUCUCAUUUCUGUGUGGAAGCUUAAGUUAGCUAACCACACUCUUUGGUGAGUUGACAAAUAGUGUGUUGCCACGUCUAUGAAAUAGAUGUCGUGGAAAUAGUCACGUGAAAAGCAUCGUGGCAAAAAUUUAUUGGACGAGGAGAUAACGUGUGCGUGGAGUAUCAUAGAGGCAGUGACCCAUAACGUUAGGAAAAAUGGGAUGUUGACUUUCUUGUUAGAUUAAGUUAGCUAAUUACACUACCAUAGAAAUUAGAAAGGAUGGAGUUAUUUGCAUUAUAAAAGAAUGAUCCAAACACCCAUUUAAUUAUUAAGAUAUUUAUUUAUUGUAUUUUGAAAAAUUAACUUUUACUCUGUUCGCUCUUAAAAUUCUAAACAUACCCUUAAGGCUUCAUCUUUGUUUCUCCUUCAUACGUUCAUGACACCAGAUCAGGGAGUUCUUAAAUGCUUUCAACAUUAGUUUACCUAAGAUUCCGUAAAAGCUCUUCCCAUUAUACAAUAACUAGAAAAUAAAACCGCAUUUCACGCGGCUUUAAAAAAAAUUUAGUAUUAUCCUUUUUUAUUAUUUUACAUUUGAUGACAUUGAUAAAAAAUUUAGUAUUAUUCUUUUUUAUUAUUUUAUAAAGUGAUUUUAUUUAUUCCAAUUGUGUGUGUACAAAACAAAAAGAUGAACUCUCCUUUUAUAGUUACAUAAUCACACCAUGAAAUUAAUGAAAAAUUAUAGAUCAUAAUUCCUUGUGAGAUAGUGGGAGUUAUAGGGAAGCUAAAGGUACUAAUGGAAGAUGGUGGGGAGAUUAAGAUAUAUAUGUUAUGAACACCCACAUUUAUUUUAAUAAAUUCAUAACAUUCCCCCUUAGAUGUUCAUUACAAAGAAUGUGUCUCAUUAAAACUUUUACAUAAUUGUUAUUGUGUAAUAACAAUCAAAUUAAUUAUCAGAAGAUGAAAAACCAAAUCUAAAAGAAAAAUUUUCUAUUUAUUAGAUAAUAGAGAAUAUACAAAGAUGAAAAAUGGUGAUGCCACAUCACCUCCUCAAGUUCCAACUUUAUAUAUAUAUAUAUAGAUUCUUGUUCACACUGCAAAUUAUAUAUAUUAUUAUUAUUUUAGAUCUUGAAAAACAAAUAAGCCAUUUUAUCUUUUCGAAAUCAAAACAAUAAAUGAGAAAUUUAUGUUAGGCCUUUAGCAAACAAUAAUAAAAAAUUGCUACGCCCCUCUGAUAUGAAAAUUAAAUGGCAGAAUUUUAUUGAGUUUGAGAGAGAAUUUGAUUAGUAUGAUUUCUACAUCAUAAUAAGUGGAGAACUUGAGAGUCGUGAUUUCCUUGACAAGAGUGGUCGGUAAUUUGAUUGAGUUUUAAGGAUUAUGCCACCGCUACAAUACCCGCAUGUAUCACAUACAUGCGGGUAAUAAAAAAAUUAAAAAAAUAUGGCCAUUGUUUGGCUGCCACCAAAAAAAAAAAAAAAUUGGAGCAACCGAUAAAGAGCAAUUGAUUGCUCCUUAAAUAAAUAUUAUAUUAUGAAAUAAUAUAAUAAAUAAAAUAAUAAUUUUAAUAAUAAAGGCAACAUAAUAAUAAAAAAAUUAGUUUUAUAAUAAUUAAAAAUUAGUUUCAAGUUUAAUGGUCACAUAAUCAAGUUAAUGACAUGUGUUUCAUGUUUAUUGGUUCAUUAAUUGCAUAAUUUUUGGGGUUGCAAGUAAAUGAUCCCAAGUUCCAUAUUCAUUGCCCUAAAAUUCCAUGUUCAUUACCCUCGGUUUCAAGUUUAUUUGGUUUCAAGUUUAAUGGUCUCAGUUUUAAGUUAAUGGUAGGUGUUUCAUAUUUAUUGGUCCAUUAAUUGUAUGAUUUUCAGGGUUGCAAGUUAAUGAUCCUAAGUUUUAUGUUCAUUGCUCUAAGUUUCAAGUUCAUUUGAUUUCAAAUUUAAUGAUCCCAGUUUCAAGUUAAUGGUAGAUGUUUCAUGUUUAUUAAUCCAUCAAUUGCAUGAUUUUCGGGGUUUCAAGUUAAUGAUCCCAAGUUCCAUGUUCAUUACUCUAAGUUUCAAGUUCAUUUGGUUUAAAGUUUAAUGAUCUCAGUUUCAAGUUAAUGGUAGAUGUUUCAUGUUUAUUGGUCUCAUGUUUCAUGUUUACCGGUUUUUCAAGUUUCCAUUUCUUUCAUAUUUAAUAAUAAAAAAUCUCAACCAUUCGAUCUGCUCCAAUUUAAUCUAAUGACUAUUUUUUAUGCAUGUAUGAGAUACAUGCAUAUACUGUAGUAGCGCCCGAAGGAUUAAUAUUAGUUAAAACUAACAAUUUUAUGUGAUGCAAUGGGUUUGUUGAGAAUAAAAAAAACAAGGUUUAAAAUAUUAUAGUUACACUAUACAUUUCAUGGGUGCACCUGUGCAUUAUACGCGUGUCUAGAUUAAUUUUUUUUACUUAUUUAUAUUAAAAUGUCCUUAAUAGUAAAGACAUUGUGGGUAUAUUUAUGGUAUUUAUUUUUUACAGUGUGAAUAACCUCAACCCCAUAAAAGUAAUAAUGUAAAAAAAAAAAAAGCAAAUUAAAAAGGGCGCCAAGAAAAAAAAAAUUAACUCAACAUUUGUGUGCUCUGCACGUAUAUAAUUAAAACGGAAUUAUUUGAACUUAUAAUUUUGUGUUCUAGAGUUAACUUAUUUUAACUUAAUUUUUAAAAUUGUAAAAAAACUUCUUAUUCAUUAAUUCCACACAAUUCGAUAGUAAAAAUUAAAGAAUGAAUGAGUUAGUAACGUUGAACUUUUUGAUUGAAUAUUUAUGAAUGGACUGCAUGAGAUGAGAUCAAUGAACGUCCAAAUUUAAAAUUUAUCAUAGCUCCACUGAUAUAUACAUACAUCCUUACACACUGUGGUGAAAUUAGGAUUGGUCCGACGAGGGCAAUAAUGAAGAAAAAUAACUUUAGGAGAUGAUAACAUAGACCCUGCAAAUUUGAGGGAGUCAAGCAGAAAUUUUACUUAAAAUGAAUUAAUUUUCAAUGGGAAUCUCCUGAAUUUUUCUGGCCAAAUAGCUUCAAAUAGCUUAGUGCUUACGUAGCUUGGAAAUAUAAGUUGGUAAUUUGUAUCUAAAUAGAUACGUACGGUGGAAUUUUAUUUUAAGAAAAACAAUAUAAAAGCAAUCAAAUGCCUUAUUUGAAAGUGCUUGCCAAAAGUUUGAUAACAAAUGGAAGAACUGAAUAAGUUGCUGUUCAAAAAUUUCAAGAGAAAGAUUGAUAGUUUAAAAGGAAGAAACAGAGAGAAAAAGUUUGAUCAUCGAAGACGUAUGAAGCUCAAGACAAUAAGGGAAAGAAUUUUAUUUAUUUAUUUAUUUUCCAGAACUGCAAUUGGGUCCAUCAAAUAACUUCGCUGCAAGCGGCGGCUCCGACUGCUUGGUUGAUGAUCUCAAAUAACAAAACAUAAUCAGUACUAAAAUUGUGAACAGUAAUUGUAGCAUUUUGAUUAUUCAUUUGCGAUGUUUAAGAAAUUGCUUAUAUUUAUAGAAUAAUUCGGGCAGAAAUUUUACUGGGUCAUGUGUUACAAAGAUGAGACUUUCUUAAUUGAAAUAAAACUGGGCCUAAUUGAAAAUUUGAGUUUAAUGGCAUAUAAUCCACCUAAUUCUGUUAUGUGGUCUUGAGAGUAAAGUCCAAAGUAUAUUCACACAAAAUAAGUUGGUGCUAUGAUUUUGUCCAUGGUUGUUGUUUCAUUAAACUUAAAUAAUGGAUUCAAACCUAAACAACAAUGACACCUACUGUGAAUAAUGAUGAGAGAGUAGAUUACACCAAUGGAGAAGAACUAAUAAUUUAAUAUUAAGAUAUUUUAGGGUUGUUAUUAAUUAGAAAAAAUGUGAGACAGUUGACAUAAAUGUAUUUUGAAAACCGUUUUAGAAAAUGUUUCAUGAAAAAUCUAUAAUUUUUUUCCCUCUUAAAAGAAUUAUGAAGCCUAUUUUUUAUACGCUUCAUUUCUCCCUUUGCUCCUAUUCUUACAUGAACGACUUUGCAUGCACCUUUACAUUUAUUGGCAUACAUUCUUCCAUAAAAUUUCAUGCAUAUUCAGUCAUUUUUGUUGAUAAUUUAAUAAGUAUUAUAUUAGUUGUUAUUCAUGCUUAUCAACUUUUAACAUGUUUAACUUUUAACACAAGUUUCCACCAAUCAAAUCGAUUUUGCCAACAUUUAAUGUCAUGCACGUUUUGUCUAUGCGUUUAAUCUUAAGGUGAUGUAUGCAUCUUACAAGUUAUCACAUACAUUUAUUUUAAUGCAUGCUUUGCAUUAAAUGUUAUACAUGCAUUAAAUUAACUUAUGAAUACUUUAUCUAUAUAUUCAAUUAUGAUGUAUGUUUGCCAAAGUAAGCCUCUUUAGCUACUAAUUUACUUAUUUGUAGAUACUAACUUUUUGACCUUUAAUUCAAAAGUAAAUAAAAGAAAUAGUCGAUGUAUGUAAAUCAAUAAUAUGUAUAUGAUUUAUAAUUUAGUGUUUUAAACAAUCUUUUUUUUUAAAUGAUUAAUUCUUGACUAGCUCGUUUCACAAGACAUUCCCUUAUGAACUAAAGUCCUCCAAGUAGGUUUAGUCAAAGCUUCAAUGCGAAUUGAACCUCACUCUAAUGUUUCCAUACCUUUCAAACCACAACCUACUGUGAUUGCCCCUAUACAAUGGCUUAGGUCUAGUAAGAAAUAUAUACCUUAUGGAUAAGAGUAGGCCUAAAGGCCUAAGAUUGAUUUUUAGGUAAAAUUUUUAGUCCCUUUGAUUAUUUAAGAUGUGCGGUCGUAGACAAACGGAUCGCAUAAUCAAAUUUCCUGCCUUAAAAUCAAAUCCCAUAGAAACCACACAAAAAAAAAAGGCCAGAUUAAUACUAAAUUGAGAUAUGGCACCAAUCAUUCCUUUGGGGUUUAGCCAACAAACCCAAUCGCUUUGACAAAACAAGAUCUAGUCCAAGUCCAAGAUUCAAAUCAGUUCAACACCUCCUCCAGACCCUCCUUUGGUUUGUAGUAGCCGUCGCGUUGUAUUAUUAUUUUUACCAUUCUUGAUGAAUGCAAUUAAAAACUUUUGCAGCUCCCUUGAACUCAAUAUAAUGCCAAAAUCUUAUUCAAUCUAUUUAACACUUGGGAAGCCUUACAAGCACUUUGAGUACAUUGACAGUCGAUGUAAAGAAGACUUUGUGGAAUUUUUUUUUUAAUGAUUACUAGACAAGGAAAUUUGUUUUCCAGACAACCUUUAUAGCUUCUAAGUACCAAAAAUCAAAUGCACAAUCUUGCUUUUUUUUUUUUUUUUUCAAAUGUCAGAAGAAAGAGUGUAAAAAUAUAAUCAACAAUUUGUAUAUAUAUAAGGAGUGAGUUGCUAGAUUUAUCAAUACAAACCUUUCAAAGAGUUUGGUUUAAACACCUAAAACCUCCACAUUUUAUUCAAAAGUCAUAAUGACAGAAUUUCCAACUCGACAGUUUAAAAAUAUUUGUGUAUUUUGUAGAAAUGAUUCGAGAAAUAUGCUAAAUUUUAUAAAUGCUGUAAGAGAUCUUAAAAAGGUUUUAAUCGAACAAAAAAAUGUGUUCAAUGGUUAGAAACGACAACUUUUCAUUUAUUUGGUUCGUUGUGGAAGCUACACCUAUAAACGAAAAUGAAAAUGUCCCUGAUAAAUUUAAAAGACUUCUUGAAAUGAAUGACCAUAUUAAUACUUCCAUCGCUUUACCAAGUGGAUUGAAAAAUCGAUGUUAAGCCGAAAGAUUCAUUCCAACCUAUAAGGUACGUAAUUUAUGAUAGACCCAAGUUGAGACAGCCAUUAUAACCUGUGGUUUAAAACAACGGUUAGAUUAAAGUAAAGCUCAACUCACAUUGAAUCUUGGAUUAAAUCUAAUUGAAAGACCUUAGUACGUAAGGGAAUUUCUUGUGAAAUGAGCUAAUAAAAAAUAAUAAUCAUUCUAUUAAAAAAAAUCUAAUUUAAAACACUAAAUCUUAAAUCAUAUGCACACAUUACUAAUUCAUAUACAUCAACUGUUUAUUUUAUUUAUUUUUGAAUUAAAAGUCAAAGAGUUAGUAGCCAUAAAUAAAUAAUUAGAAGCUAAAAAGACUAACUUUAGAGCACAUCCAUCACAAUUGAAUGUAUAGACAAAGCAUGCAUAAGCAAAUUUAAUGGUUUGACAAAAGCAUGCAUAACAUUUAAUGCAAAUCACGCAUUAAAAUAAAUGCAUGUAAUGUAUGCGCCAUCUUUGAAUUAAAUGCAUGGACAAAGUAUGCAUGACAUUAAACAUUAACAAUGUUGAUUUGACCUGUGGAAGGUUGUGGCAAAGGUUAAACAUGUUUAAAGUCACCUUUGAAUUAGCAAGAGCAUGCAUCACAACUGAGUGCAUAGAGCAAGCAUGCAUACGCAAAUUUAACGCUUAGACAAAACGUACAUAAUAUUCAAUAAAAAGCAUGCAUUAGAAUAAAUACUUGUGAAAUGCAUGCACCAUCUUUGAAUUAAAUGCAUGGACAAAGCAUGCAGGAUAUUAAAUAUUAACAAUGUUAAUUUGAUCGGUGAAAACUUGUGGUAAAGGUUAAUCAUGUUUAAAGCCAAUAGGCAAGGCUAACAAUUAAUACAAUGUUCAUAAAAUUUUUAACAAAAAUAACUAAGCAUGCAUAAAAUAUAAAUGUAAAUGUACAUACAAGGCCGUGUAAGCAUGGGUGCAAAUAAAUGCAAAGGUAUGCAAGCAUAAGUGGUAAUAAAUACAAAGGGAGAAAUGAAUUUCUAUUAACAGCAGACUUCACAAUUCUUUUAGGAGGAAAACC
rnacentral:lncRNA from 1 species